rfam:Firmicutes bacterium CAG:137_57_8 Ley3_66761_scaffold_6964, whole genome shotgun sequence.
ACAGGGGAGGUAUGUCUACUCCACGCGCAAGCGAUAGGCCAGUCUCCCUAAAAAAGGAGGAAUACCAAAACCCGCCGGACUCGCGGUGCGGCAGUGUGGAGACCUGUCGCAAUGUGGUGUCGCCAUCCAUGGGCGACCACGAGAUGCAUGGCGCGGAUGCCCCUGCAUCGGAGUCAGAAUGUAUGGCA